AACGAAGGCUGGCGGCAUGCCUAACACAUGCAAGUCGAACGAGACCUUCGGGUCUAGUUGCGCACGGGUGCGUAACGCGUGGGAACCUGCCCUUAGGUUCGGAAUAACUCCCCGAAAGGGGUGCUAAUACCGGAUAAUGUCUUCGGACCAAAGAUUUAUCGCCUUUGGAUGGGCCCGCGUUGGAUUAGCUAGUUGGUAGGGUAAAAGCCCACCAAGGCGACGAUCCAUAGCUGGUCUGAGAGGAUGAUCAGCCACACUGGGACUGAGACACGGCCCAGACUCCUACGGGAGGCAGCAGUGGGGAAUAUUGGAAAAUGGGCGAAAGACUGAUCCAGCAAUGCCGCGUGAGUGAUGAAGGCCUUAGGGUUGUAAAGCUCGUUUACCCGGGAUGAUAAUGACAGUACCGGGAGAAUAAGCUCCGGCUAACUCCGUG
rnacentral:rRNA from 1 species